CGUGUAGGCGGACUCGCAAGUCGGUUGUGAAAUCCCUGGGCUCAACCUAGGAACUGCAUCCGAAACUGCUUGUCUUGAGUAAUGGAGAGGGUGGCGGAAUUCCCGGUGUAGAGGUGAAAUUCGUAGAUAUCGGGAGGAACAUCAGUGGCGAAGGCAGCCACCUGGACAUUUACUGACGCUGAGACGCGAAAGCGUGGGGAGCAAACAGGAUUAGAUACCCUGGUAGUCC
rnacentral:rRNA from 1 species